GCCAGCGUAGCUCAACAGGCAGAGCAACGGUUUUGUAAACCGUAGGUUGCCAGUUCGAUUCUGGCCGCUGGCU
rnacentral:tRNA from 1 species